AUAUGCAGGGUAAAACAAAGAUAAAAAGUUUCUGCAGGUUAUAUAUAUGAGAAUAUAGAAAUGAAUGAACUUCGUGUGAAACAUACUACAUGCGCCAAGUUGUUGUUUUUUUUUUUUUUGAACAUUGCCAAGUUGAAUUCAAACAUACAUAGCACAUUCGGCAGACAGGGAAAUGUACUUUUAGUUUUAAAAUGCAGACUACCUACAGCGCUACAUACUGUAUUAACUAUUAAUCAAACGUCACCAAUAUUUUUUUUCCCUGAUAGACUUCCAGACAGACAACUCACUGUCUCCAAAAUCUACAUUUUGCUCAAUAUUUGUCAUAGUCAAAAUACCCCGAUAUCACUAACACCAUGAGAAGCUACAGUAAUCAGUCCAACAAAACAAGCAGAUAAAAAUGUAUAUAAUCUACCAAAAAUAAUUCCACAUUUCCAUUCUCCAUGACUCCAAACAAAUCAUGAACCCAUUUCUGCACAGUAUCAGAUCAACAGAAACCCUCCUCCAGCUUUCACAACCGAAACAAUUGGAUUUGACUAAACACCUGAGUACCUUAGAGAGGAACUCAUCUGAGGCGAGCUUGUAGUUGCUAUCCGCGUGAUCCUUGGGCACCACCCUCUCAUCCACCCAGAACACAUGCCAUUUACUCCAAUCCACCGCCUCCAGGUACGGCGGCUCCGCUAGUUUCCUGCGAAACCCAAAGGUCAAGACCUAAGACACCCCACACAAUCCGGAAACCAACAACUUCGCGGUGGGAGACGGGUCCAGAACCUGAGGGCCUUCACGAGGGAGCCGCCGGAGAGGACGACAGUGAAGGCGCCCCUCUCCGCCGCGAACUUUGCCGACAACUCCGCCGUGUACUUGGCCAGCGACGCCGCGAGGUCCUCCUCGGCAUCGAAUAUGAUGAGUUUCUUCCUGGAGGCCGUCUCACCGGAGGCGGCGGCGGCGGGAGAGGCCAUGGCGGAGACCGGCACGAGCGGAGAGCGCGAGGGUGACGACGAUGAGAGUCUGCUGGGAAGGGACCGGCGGAGGGACGGUGGGAGCCUGAGCGCAGACGACGACCGGCGGGGAUUGACGGAGGAUAGGGUGGCCCACGCGGCGGUGGCGGAGGCGGCGGCGGAGGUAGGCAUGUUGGCGGCGGCGUGGAAAUUGGAAAUGGAGAGCAGGUUGUUGGUGGGGGAAAGAGACGGGGCUGAUUGGGAAAUAAUGGUCACUUCGUAGCCGUCGAGAUCGUGAUGGACGGCUGGGGUCGCGCGGGCCCGCUCCUUCUGGACUGUUCCACGUGGGCACGGUGCCCUGGUGCUACCGCCUGUUCUUGGUCAGCGCACUCGGAUUUGCCGCCCAAGAAAGGUUUGGGUGAGCCGGUGAGGAGAAGACCUGGCCCAGCCCAAUUACGGGCCUAGUCCGGUGCCUUCGGAUAUCACAUCAGAUGUUUUAUAGAAUAUUAAAAGAAGUAUUUAGAUAUUAAUAAAAAAAACUAAUUACAUAAUUCGCCUGGAAAUUACGAGACGAAUUUAUUAAACCUAUUUAAUUUGUUAUUAGCACAUGUGGAUUAAUGUAGCACUUAAGACUAAUCAUGAUUUAAUUAGGCUUAAAAGAUUCGUCUCAUGAUUUCCAACGAAACUAUAUAAUUAGUUUAUUUUUUAUCUAUAUUUAAUGCUCUAUGUAUGUGUCCAAACAUUUGAUGGGAUGGAUGAAAACUAAACAAGGCCAGUAACAAAAAAUUUGAUAAGAAUUAACCAAAUUUUUAUUAAAGGAUUUAUAUAUUAUAUAGGUAAUUUAACAUCAACAACUAGUGCCAAAUUCAGCCAUGAUUUGUGAGCUACACUACAAGCUGAAUCAGUCAACCAUUCAACAGUAUUUUUCUCUCACAACAAAUCUACCAACAGUACUUUCUACUACGGUUUAUCAGCCAAGCUUACAAUCCUGCAUACCCUCGAGUGGUAGACCUAGAUAAACACGCAUCGGGAUAGACUAUAAAAGGACGUCGGCUUAAUUUUUUAGCUUGUGGCCACCCUAUGACCACGUCAAAUAGGUUAGAUCAGGCUAUUUCUAGGAGGGGUUGUGUUUCAGUUUUUUCUAAGUUGGGCCGAGAUUUUUUUUCGGUCAAUAGGUCGGAAAAUUAUGUGGAGAAUGUUUGAUACAUUGGUCGGGUAGUGUUUUUUCGACAAGUCGGAUCAGGUGACCCAUGAUCAAGUCUAAACCGAAGCAAUUAGACAACGUACAAUCAGCUAAGCUUGAAUAAGCAUACUCUUAUUACAUCUGCAACUAGUUGACAUUUACAUUAGAAGUACUCUUUAUAAUGCAUUACACCUAACAUUUAUUUCUUCUCCACCACCAUAGCCAACAACAUCCCAAGAACAACUAUGCCUAGCAUGUAACAAGGCAUUUUAACAACCAUGUUAUUUCAUAACCUAAAACCACCAUAGUCUCAAUUUUAGUAUCACAACUAAGAAUUCCCCACCCGUGCUUCCUCUGUCAUCCCUAUGCUAAAAUGUCCUCCUUUUCCUCAGCUAUGCUUCAAAGCAUAUAAGUAACUUUCCUCCCGAUGCCAAAAUGGGCAGGAGAUUCUAUCUUGCUGCAUUCAAGUCACAUUACAUCAAAAGAACAAAGCUUAUCUGGAGAAGAGUUCUUUAGUUCAACUUACCUGUGUCUGGGGCCGUGUAGAAGUUUUGUCCCGUCGACAAUGGCUGCUUGAACCUUAACAGUUUACCUACAAUUGCAAUCUAGGCAAGUAAUCGACGACUGUUUCCCAUUCGUCCUGCGCCUAAACGACGACAACACAAUCAAUUCCCACAACCAUUUACCCCACUCCAGGAAUGCAGGUCGUUAGAGAUAUAUUAAGGAUCCCAAUUUGGAGCGCGAUGGACAGGUUCAAGCUAAUGAUUUGGGGGUAGAGUUUGGCAUCACAAACAAACACGAGACGAGAAAAAAAAGGAGGAAGAGGGAGGGGUUGAAUAGAGGAUGAGACAAACCAGAGGAGGAAGAGAGGAUGAGUUAAAUAGAGACUAUGAGGGGACUUAUUCAAACUAAACAAGUACUAGGGCCAAUUUGCAUAGUUCUGUACUAGCAGAUCAACGUAACAAGAUUUGACUGAGAUGACACAUUGCGAUAUAUCGUAGACCCCAAACUGCAAUUUCGAAGUUCAGGGACCUAAGAACUCAAGAACUAAUUAGAGAUCGCCCAUUUACUCUUCAGUCUUCACCUUCAUAAUUGAAAGCGUAUCUAAAAUGGUAGGCCAACGGUAUAAACAAUUACAUAAGCAAUUCUUCAUACUACUCAAAUGAGCACAGGGUACCGUUAGUGCGCUUUAUUAAAAGUGAAAUUCAAAUGUCUCGUGCGAAAAUUAUAGCAUAGCUUGAAACCAAGCUACCUGGGGCCGUGUUGUAUGGGAGUGUCUAGUGAGCGACUGAGCGCAGCGUCAGAAAUAUGAAGGGACCCCACUGGGCCCAAGCUAAAUCCAAGAGCGAUGAUUGUAACAAAUUGAAGUCUCGUCUAUAGAAUGCUUUUUACGGUCGAGUUAUCUUGGCGCAAAUUUAAACAUGGGGGGUACUUAUUUCUCAAAAAAGAAUAUGGGGGUACUUAAGCAGUUAAGCUAUAUAAAUAUGUAACAAAUUGAAGUCUCGUCUAUAGAAUGCUGCUGCAUGCUUGUUGUCGAAACAGACACCAAGGACUCCGAAUUCAGCAGUUCAGAAACCACUCGGUAAGAAUACUCGUGAACCUUUUAGUACGAAAAUUCACGCUGCAGGCAAACACCUGUGUGCUUAUCAUAAAUAAACUGGAACAAGCAAAAACGUGGCACGGCGGACAUGCAAACGCACAUACAGACUGAAGCAGAAACGUUGAAGCAAUCGCCAACCAGCAAGAGCAACGUGCAAAACACAUCUGACCAGCACAAAAGUAGGGAAUUCAAUAGAUUACAAAAAGCAAAGAGACAAUUUCGAUAGGUCGACAGGGGUUAGCAAAGGCAGAUUAGCACAAACCGAAAUUAUGUCAUUAAUGCAAAUGCGUAAACCACUGCACUCAACACAUAAGCAAAAGACCGACCGUGCGUACCCCUAUUUGGUAAAUAAAUUGCACAACCAGUUUCAACACAUCCUGUAAAGCAUUUGUAAAACAUUCCACCAAUUAAGAAGCAAUAAGCAUAUAUAAUAUCAUAACCAUAUGAGAAUGAAUAUGAAUAAUACCAUUUGGUGUAUUCAUCUUUACGAAGAGAUCUAAACUAAACCAAAAAUUACAUGUUCUUGAGCAGACCAUUUCAAUGCAUUUGAACACAACUAAACUUUGCAUUACCUGAGUACAGAUGCAUGAGUGAACAGUGCAUAGCUACUUUGAUGCUGCUUAUGGAGUCAGGAUUGGAAUGGCAUCGCUGCAUCAUAAAUUAGUACACUAUAUGCAAACAAUACCCUCACCAAAGAAUACAGCACCGCAAGUCCAUGUUAUUUGCAGUUUAGAAACACAUGCAAAUCUAAAUACUACCAACCUCCAUCCCAGAACAUCACAUUCCUUAACAUCGCAUAUUGAUUAAAUCUAUCAGUUAUUGUGUUAUUUCUCACAAAUUACUACAGAAACAGAUACCCCCCAAAGCUCCAAAGCAGUUCAUACUAACGGGAACAACAACAACCACAUCAAACUUAAGGAAAAACACUUUGCUUCUUUCAGAAAAAUGUACUCAGAAAAAUGUAAUCAGAUUUAUUAAUGCCAACAGAAAAUUCAAAAGUUCACUAUCAAAGUUCUAAUCAGCAACUAUUACCCAUUUUAUCAUAGCUGAUCUUGACCAGGACCUUAGCCAUACAAAAUAAAGUCGGAAAUAGGCGCAGUAGCCCCUGACCACCUUUCAAGCUUAACUAGGGGUGUCAGGGGGUUCCACCACAGUUCCUAGCCAGCCACAUUUUUGUUCAUUUAGGGAAAUAAGGGCAGACUAUUAGUCCUAGAUUAAACUAGACAAAAUUUUGGUAUAUGGGCAAGAAACACCAAUGGGGCAAUAUACAUUACUAAGGUAGGCUAACACCAUCUAGUUUUCAUUUUCAAAAAAGAUAUAAAUCCACAGGAUAGCAAACUCAAAUUGUCUCGGAUGUGAAGCAAGGUAAUGAAGUUACAGUAGAUCAUAAUAACUAAGGCAGCAGAUACAGUAUGCCGAAUAACUUAAAGUUCCAACCCUACACAUUCUACGGCAAUCUAAUAACAUUUGGCCGAAUAUCACUUAUUGCAUUAUCCCUUUCACGCAUUCACGAAAUGAGUUGACAAACCCUAAAAAAGCCACCGCCCCGGAAUUCAGCGCAUAUCGAAGCGUUAGCCCGCCGUAGUUGGAUCGUUCGCAUAAACGAUAGGUUCGGCAACCAUGAGGUCCGCACGUCUUAACGCCUACCGCGAGGCCCGCCAGCUGACCUUGGACCAGGAAAGCGUGAGAAUUGCAGCCGCAAAUGGGCUGAGUCACGAUCGUGUUCGUCAAACUUAUAACCUGCAAAACGAAUCGCGAUGGUUUAUAUUGCUCAGGUCGUCGCGUGAACAAGAGAUCGGACCGUAACAUGAAUAGGAAGAGUUAGGAUUUUGCCUUCAACCAAAGGCGUACUCCCCAAUGUAGAUCAAGAUGGAAAUGCAAAUCUUAGAUCCAGUAGAUCAGAAUGCUAAUGGGAAUCUUAAUAAAUUGGCAGGGAUGCUGGUACAAAGCAAGCUCAAAGUGUAGAACCUAAGAACGCCUAGUUUCUGCACUCUGGACAUGAGUUUCUCAACUUGUAACAAUUCCUAGAUUUAAUGUAUUAGGAAGGGCAUAAUGUGCACUUCAAUAUGAAGCAGAGCGCAAAAGCGCAAAACUCACGACUCUAUUAAGUGCACGAGAAGAAUAUUAGCUUGUUAGGAAAUGCUGAGCUGUAUUGCCACCUGCCAGGGUGCAUUGAAUAAUAGUUGGGUUUACCACUGAAUACCCACCUGACUACCAGCUUCCUGCUAUAACUAAUGUGUGAACUAAUUUAAAAACUAUGUCACAAAAUUCGCAUAAAGUUAGAUGCAGAAUGAACAAGUAUUUACAAUUUCCAAAACAAGCUUCACAACAAACAAUAGAAAAAUGCAGACAUGCAUAAUAGAAUUUAACAAGCAUAUACAUGCAAAACUCAACGUCACCAAAGCUACGAAUCAGGAAAUCAACCCAACUACACAGUCCAUAUCCACAAAUAUAAGUAGUUUCACCUUGCAACGCUUCAAGAGCAAUUGUAGCCUGAGCAGGGUUGUCAAAAUCAACAAAACACAACACAUGUGGAUCUCCACCAGGCUGCAGAAAGGUUGAGAGAUAAGCAUCAUCCAUCGCUAGAGCAGAAAAUUUCUAACAGGGUCAAAGGGUGCAGCAUAGUUAACUUACAUGUCUGGACUCUUUGUUGACAAGACGCACUUCACGAAAACCAACAAAUGGGCGAAAUAUAUCUAAGGAAACAAAUGGUUAAGGAACAAAAAAAAUUCAAGAGAGUGGCAACAUAGACAGGUACCACCAAUCAGUAAUUCAGAUUAAACAAGAACUGAAGCAUAUAAACAGAAAGAAACUAGAGAAGAUGAACAAUAUGAAGGUGUAAAGGAAGAGAAAAAAAAGGAAGAUAGCACCGUAAGUCUCAACAAAAGCAUAACUAGCAUUAGAAUGUGACAUUUAAAGGGGUUCAAUGGAAUGUUCAAAGCUAGCAAGACACAUUUAGAAAAAUAAGUUUAGUAAAGAACAGUAAUAAGAUUUUGGAGAAGGAUACGUGAAACCUCCCGUCGUGUGCAAUUUGCAGGUAAGCCCUCAAUAUACAAAGUGGGUGAUGCAUCCGGCGGAAGAGGAGGCUCAGGUCUGCCACCAUAUCCCAUCCCAACACCCAUCAUACGCCGAUCAUCAACACCAUAGCCAGCCAUCCCAGCACCCAUCGCUGCACCCAUUCCAGCACCCAUCCCUGCAGCCAUCCCAGCACCCAUCCCAGCACCCAUCCCUGCAGCCCUAGUAGUGUCAUUGGCACCGACGGAGGCCAUCUAUGAAUUUAUCACACAGAUAAAAGGCAAGUCAAUAACUCUGUACUCUAGCAAAAAAAAACAAACUAGUACAAUAUGAAAACUGUGUUUGUAUUUGUACCCCAUUGCGUAAGUAACGAUCAUAAGACGCUCCAAUUGCGUCGUUAUCUCUAAGGGAAUGGUAUCCUGCCCUGUCAGUUUCACGUGGAUAAUAUCCGGUCAUGUCUUGUCCACCACACACAUCUGCAAAAAUGGAAAAAGAAAUCAAAGAUUACACCCAAUCCUCACUUCCAGCUAUCACAUGUAAUCAAUAUAANNNNNNNNNNNNNNNNNNNNNNNNNNNNNNNNNNNNNNNNNNNNNNNNNNNNNNNNNNNNNNNNNNNNNNNNNNNNNNNNNNNNNNNNNNNNNNNNNNNNNNNNNNNNNNNNNNNNNNNNNNNNNNNNNNNNNNNNNNNNNNNNNNNNNNNNNNNNNNNNNNNNNNNNNNNNNNNNNNNNNNNNNNNNNNNNNNNNNNNNNNNNNNNNNNNNNNNNNNNNNNNNNNNNNNNNNNNNNNNNNNNNNNNNNNNNNNNNNNNNNNNNNNNNNNNNNNNNNNNNNNNNNNNNNNNNNNNNNNNNNNNNNNNNNNNNNNNNUCUUUUAAGCAUCUCCAAAGGCUUUGGCAAAUUGACUUGGCAUUUCUUGCUAUUUGCAAACUCCUAUAACAAAAUACAAAGGAUAAAAAUAGGUCAUCUUCAAGGGAAUUGGCAUUUGGACUUGGCAAAGGAUAAAAAUAGAAGGUCUCUAGGCGCGCGCGCUUUCCUCGCGCAUGACUUUGUUCGCGCGAUCGGGUUUGCAAAGUCGUCCACAGCUUGGCAUUUUUGCCAAGUUUGCUCCCUCAUUUGCCAAGUUGUCUAAAUUGCAAACUCCAAAUGCAAAACCGUUGGAUACCGCUUUUGGAGCUUUUUGGCAAAUUACUCAAAUGCAAACUUCAAAUGCAAAACCCUUGGAGAUGCUCUAAGGUUUUUUUUUUCUUAGAGUAACUCCAACGGAUUGGUUAUUUUAGCUGAACUGUUGGAGUUAUUUUUAUAGUUCUUGUGUCUAAGCUGGUUGAAAGAUUAUAGUACGUUUCUCUUCUCUCUCCCUUCCUUCUAUUUCCGCCACAUCAAUAUACAACAAGUUAUUUAUUAUACUAGCAAAUAUUUCUUUGCGUUUCAACGGAAGAAAAAACAUCAAAUGUCCAUAGAAAAUGAUGACAUAAUGUUACAUAUCUAUUUAUAUUUAUCUUUUUUAUAAAAUUUAAAGUCCAUAAUCUAUUUUUGUGAUAACCAUGACAUCUAUGAUAUUAGAUAGUUAAUAUUUACAAUAAUAUAUAGCUCAAAGUCAUAUUUAUUUAAUAAUAAUAAUAAUUAGUCAAACCUUAUCUUACUCUAAUAUUACCUCUUAAUAUACCUUAGUAUUAUACUAAAACAUGAGAAGUUUGUUGCUAGCUUUAUUUUUUUAUUUAGAUUAGGAUUCCUAUAAAAUAUGAUAUAUGAGUUAAAUGUAUGUAGAUUAUGAACAUAACAACACAUCGUGCAAAGAUAGUGGAAGCAUCCUCAAGCAUAAGUUUAGAUAAAUUAGUUAAUCAGUGAGAUAUACAGAAAUGGUGCUAAAACUUUUACCAAUCAAGCAUCACAUUAAAUAGACUACCAUAAAUUUUUCAUAAUAAUUGGAUCAAGAUAACUACAAUUUCAAUUUACACUAAAAAGCAUAGGCAAGCAUCUACAGCAAAAAAAAUAUACUAAAUUUUGUGAUAUUUUCUGUUUACUACAUAGAUAUGUGGAGCUGAACAAAAUUUGUUUUGUAACUUUUAGAUUUUUCUAAGAAUUACUAUGCAUUUAUCAAUUUUUAACCGAUCAAGUUUACACUAAAAAGCAUAGGUAAUCAUCUCCAGUAAAAAAAUAUACUAAAACUUGUGAUAUUUUUUGUUUACUGCAUGGAUCUACAUAUGUGGAGCUGAACAAAAUUUGUUUUGUAAUUUUUAGAUUUUUCUAUGAAUUACUACACAUUUAUCAAUUUUUAACCAAUUUAAAGAAUAAAAAAAUAAACUAAUAGGACAAACAUUUGCACCUAGGCCAUAUACUUUUCUUAUAUAUAUAGGAGAUUUUGCACUAGGAGCCCUAGAAAAAACUUCUAUUUGUUUCCUCUUCCACCAGUUUUAGAUGGACUCUGAUUUAAAGACAGCACAAACACUUUACACCUUAUGUUCAUAUACUUUCUUUAUUCUCAACAUGCUCUAAUAUGUAUAAGAGAUUUUAUAUUGGAAACCUAAAAAAACUUCUAUUGGUUUUCCUCUUUCAUCAGUUCUGGACAGAAAAGUUUGAUGGACUGAAAUUUUUGUAAUUCUAUACCUAUCUAUAAAGAGCCAAAAUUUCAGUCUGCCCUAUAGAUUUCUUCUGCCACCAGUCCGCCGGGCCUCGAUUCGGAGUACGGACGCAACAUAGACCGGAAAAAAAUCUCCUCUUUCAAAUCAGACACGAAAUCACUUCCAAAUCAGACACGAAAUCAAAUGCAGCCAAUUCAAUCAAAGUCUAAAUCUAAAUCAAAUCUAUACCUAAUCUAUACCUCUAUACCUAAUACUAGAGAGGCAAAAUUUCAGCCCACAAAUUUUGUUUGGAUCAAAUCUUCGUCUGCCCAGCCAUCUCGAUCCGAAAUCGAAUAGAUCACGACCUGGGAACGGGUCGCCCGCGCCCAGAACUGACCGGUACCUACGCGACCUCGCCGAGAAUCAAUCUCACCUCUAGAACGGGCGCCGCCGCUGUGCGCCGUCGGUCGUGGUCCCAUCCGACAUUGGCUGGAUUCCAACGCGCGCGGAUGGAGCCGCUGGUAGAAAGCAGCAUGGGCGACCUUGAGGAACCAAAAAGAAAGGAGAUCCAGAGAUGGCAGGGAGCGGGUCCACGCUGUUGCCGGAGCAUGUCGCGGCUGCGCUGCUGAGGGGCAUUGCGACGGGAGGCAGGCCAACACUGGUACGGGGACUGCAGCGUACCCGGCGGCGCCGGUGCGGUGCGGCGCAGCGGCGUCCUGCGGGCCACGUCGCGGCCGGCGGAGGGCGCAUGCGGGGGCGUCAUGCAGAGCUCCGGCGGGGCAUCGCAGGCGGUGGAGGUUGUAGACAGAGAGAAGAAGGGCAGGCGAAGGAUGCGAGGUGGCGAUGCGACACACCUGCGCGUGCAGCGACGGCAGAGGAGACGGAUGUGGUUUGAGCCUUUGAUGGGUCCACAGAGGCUGGCUAUGGUCGGCGGGGUCGCUUCUGGGUGUGGGCGUGGCAAGCAUCCAGUCUAUGCCGGCAUCGAUCGAACGACCAGGAUCUAUAGUGGGCAUCAACAAAAUGAGAUCUAUAAUUCUCUCUCUCUAUAUAUAUAUACAUAUAUAUAUAACCAAAUUACGUAUGUAUUCAUACUUGUUUAUCGGUUUGAGUAUUUAUAUUAAGAUACUCUAGGUCUUAACAUGUGAAAAAAUUUCAAAGGAAUUUAUAUUUUUAACAUAUUACUAAAACGUCACUACUGUAGUAUAUAUAAUAAGUAUAACCACAUACUCUAUGUAUGCAUGCAUACUUAACAUGUAUAGUACCUUAGAUGGUUUAGUAUGAUCAUAUACUUCGUCUACAUACACUUCAUCGGAUCAUAUACGCCCUAAAUCUAGAGAUAUACACAUGGGAGUAACUACUACUGGGAGUAAAAAAAAUUAUUAUAUAUAUAUAUGAUAAUUUUGUGUGUAUAUAUAUAUAUAGGAGAUAAAUUCAUUAAACCUAAUUAAUCUGCCAUUAGUAUAUGUAGGUUACUAUAGCAAUUAUGUCUAAUCAUAAACUAAUUAAGCUUAAAAAAUAGUCUUACAAUUUACAGUAAAAUUGUGCAAUUAGUUUGAGGUGCACACGUAAUAUAGUCAUCGUAAGAUAAAUUGUAGCUUUUAAUGUUUAUAGAAAGGGUAAAAUAUAAGUAAAUAUGUAAUAUUCUAUCUUUAUUUUCUAUUAAUAUUUAAUAAUUUUUUCUCCCGUUGCAACGCACGGGCAUUUUUGCUAGUAUAUAUUAGGGAGGAUAGACUUGCUCUCAAAAAGCCGAUCCGGCCAGUGGCGUAGGAAUACGGCUCGGAUAAGGAGAAACGUACUCCCCUCAAAAGAGAAGGAAAACGUGAUAAAAAAAAGCGAUAAAAAAGGAAAACGUUUCCGAUGCGGAUCGUGUAGCUGGAGUUGGUAGCUAGAGGAUUUUUUUUUUAUUGAAUACUUUCUCCAAUUAUACAACGUUUGAUUUUUUUAUCCUUAAAUUUAAACAUUCAUCUUAUUCAAAAAAUAUGUGUACACAUAGUCAAUCUAAGUUAUUCUUGAAGAACUUUUAUUAGUAAAUCAAGCCACGACAAAAGAAGUGAUAAUUUGCACACAAUUUUAAAUAAAACGAGUGGUCAAAUUUGAUGUCCAAAAAAUCAAAUGUCUUAUAAUUUUGGAUGGAUUGAGUACCUCCUAUGUCACUAAAUACAUAAAUAUAUUUCUAAAGUUGUCUUAAGUUAAUUUUUAAACUUUGAUCAAUUUUUUUAAAAAAAAUAAAAUUUAUAACAUCAAAUUAGUAUCAUCACAUAUAUCAUAGAACAUGUGUUUCAUAAUAUGCUCAUUUAUGUCAUCGAUGCUAUUACUCUUCCACGGAUUAAAAUAGUUUGACUUACACGGAUUCUAGAAAUUGAUUUGUUUAGAGGAAGAGGGAGUUUUUUUUUGUGAGAUCCAGUUACAAACGCACAUGCUCACAAACACAAACACAUACUUACCCCUAUAAAUUGAAAUCCAUAUCUAAGAUGGUAUGAUCGUAUGAUUUGGUGCUUUCUUCUAAAGAUGGCUAUUGCUUCCGUUCUAUAUUUUGUCAACUAAAACUACAUUAGUAUACUGUUUUAUAGCAUCAACAUGUUUCCACUGUUUACCUACCAUUUUUUUAACAGAGCAUAUCCCUCCUGGUGAGUAAACAAAAAUGUGUAUGUGUCCUUUUGCAGGGUGAGCUUUUCAUUUGUAUGACAAUAUAAUCAAAGGUUCUGAAUAUUUGCAAUAUUUACUUUGUUUGAGGCCAUCGACCAUGAACUGGUUAUGGUUAAUAUCUGCUGUCAAACUAUUACUGAUAUUUUACUGUGUCAGCUUGGAUGCUUAAGUUCAACCUUAAAAUGUUUACAUAUUAGGCCUUCUUCUGAAAUAUAUGAAGAUUAAACUUCCUUUUGUUCUGAUACGUUUCAGGGAAAUAACUUAAACAUCUAUAUUGCUAUAUUUGUUGAGCUUAGUGUUGUGAAUUACUAUUUUUGUAGUGUAGUGCCUUGAUUAUACUUCUCUUUAACUGAAUCUAAUUUCACAGGUUGUGGAGGAUGGAUAUGAUUUUUAACUUUAUUUUUUAUUUUUGCAAAACGUUAGCUUGUAACAAUAUUCUUAGCGCCAAACUGCUUUGGAGAGUUCAACAAUGCUGAUGCACUGAUGAGCAUUGAUGGACGAUAAGCUAAGAGCAUCUUUAAGAGAUGUUGUAAGGGCCUAUUUGGUUCUCCUUGCUAAAUUAGCUAUUCUUGGAUGACUAAUGGAACUAAACUAUUUUAGCUCUUUUUAGUCAAUGUGUUUAAAACUUUAGCUACUAAAGUGACUAAAAUUUAGCUAGCUAAAAUUUAGUUGGUGGAACCAAACAGGGCCUAAAUCUCUCAGCAAGAUCCGAUUUAGCGAUUUUUGAGUUAAAAACAUGUCCAACAGCUUCUCCACCAGCUACUCUAAUUUAUCCCGUCUUCCAUCCCGCGAUUUGCGCUCGGGAGAAAAGGCGAGCGCCACUUGCUUGCCAUCCCAGCAUGCAGCUUCUCUCCCGCACUCCUCCCGCGCGCCCAUCAGCUGCGCGUGGCCCUCUCCUGCACUCCCAGCGCCCAGUGGACCGACUGUACGCACGCUGCAGCUACCAGAAGUCACACGAGCAGCAGCAAGCCAUGGCCGAAAGCGCUUCUGAAUAUCGCGAGCACAUGGCUGGAUGGGUGAGAGGUGGGAUGUGUGGGAGUGUGCACCUCUGGUUAAGCUGGGGCACCUCAUGACCUGCAGCCUCCGAACAACAUGAGGGUGCCGACUGCAUGCGAGGUGGGAUGCGCAAGCGUCGUCUGCACCUCCGGCCAAGCUGUGGCACGCCAUGCCCGGAGCGCUCCGAAUGGCUCGAGCACGCGGCCAACCGCGUCAGAGACAGGAUGCGAGGGGCGCAGGCUUGGCCACGGAGAGCGCGUCGUCGUCGUCGUCAUGGUGCGCCACCGUGACAUGGGCCAGGCUGUCACCGUCAAGUCUCUACACCGCAGAAGCGGCACCGUCGGCAUCCUGUCCGAGGCGGGGUGAAAGGUCCAAAUGGCUAGAGGAGGGUGAAUAGCCUAUUUAAAAAAUUCUACAAACUUCAACUAGACAAGUUGAUUAGUAAAACAAAAGACGAAGCUAUUCUAGCACUAGCAUAACUAAGCUAUGCCAGCCACCUACACAAGUCUAGCAAGAAAGCUAAACGCUAGUUACAACAAGAAAGCACAACUAUAAGCUUGCUACACUCCUAAACAAGAUAGCUAAGCUAAACAAGCUACACAACUAGCAAGGUAUGCACAAAGGUAAAGGAGAGGGGAGUGAUUGUUAUACCGACGUUGUAGAGUAAAAAUAUAUCCAAUCAAUCACGUGCACAAUCACAAGAGAGACCUCGGCAAGAGAUGACACAAGAUUUUUUACCGAGGUUCACUUGCUUCCCGGCAAACUACUACUCGUUGUGGCGAUACACUCACUUGAUGGAUCAUGAGCUAAUUGGCAAUCCAAAGCCAAACCCUCAGCGGGUGCCGCACAUCCACUCACAAGAUGGGGAUCCUCCAAGCCACGAGCAAUCCACUAGAGUAGUCAAUUGCGAUCUCCCGCGGGGAAGGCUUAAGAACCCCUCACAAAUCACUUGGUGAGGCUCGAAACAAUCUCCAAUCACGAGUUCAACACCACCGCUGCUCCAAGCCGUCUAGGGCGUCGGGAAACACCCAAGAGUAACAAGAAAUCCGCAGCAAACUCAAGAAUCAAGUGCCACUAAAUGCAACUCUCAAGGCAAUGCACUUGAAUCUCACUCAAUCUCACUAGGAUGAGCAAUCAAGCAAGGAGAUGAGUGGAGGGAGUGUUCUCUAGCUCAAUGUAUGUUUCAAGUAAUCAAAUGUGCAAGAGAGAACCUCCCAAAGCCGGCCUCCAACUAUUUAUAAGCCCCUCAAAGAAACUAGUCGUUGGCUGUUUUCACUGGGCUGAAAACGGGGGCACCGGACGCUACUAAGUGACCACUGGACGCUCGACUCCCUGCGUCCGGUGCACUGGAGUUGGCCACGUGUCCGUCCUAAAUCUCGCGUGUCAGAUCCUAACGGUCACCUGCGGAUCACCGGACGCUCUGCAGGUCCACACCGGACGCGUCCGGUGCACACCGGACUCAUGCGCAGAGAGUUCCGCAAACUUGUGGGUCACCGGACGCUAAGCACCGGUAGCGUCCGGUGCUCACCGGACCCAUGCGCAGAGAGGGUCGCAAAAACGCCCGCACACCGAACGCUAACCACCGGACGCUCUCAGAGAGCGUCCGGUGCUCCACCCUAGCAGGGUCAAGCACACCGGACUCUGACGCCAGCGUCCGGUGCCUCCGCACUCAGCGUCCGGUGAGUGUUUCUCAGUGAGAAAACACUCCCGUGAGUUCUUCAAAUUUUCCACCGGCGCAAUAGAAAAAAUAUACACUUAUUUUUCUCAAAAGCGCCGAAUCCCGCCCCGCCUCGCAAGCUCGGCGGGAGGGAGAGAGGAACCCAAACCCCUCUCAACCUUAGGAACUCCACCUCCUUUGCAAAUGUGCUAACACCAACAAGUGUCCACCACUAAAGUGCAUGUGUGUUAGCUUUUCACAAACAUUUUCCCAAAGGAGUUAAGUUAGCACUUUACUAGAUUCUAAUGCAUAUGCUCAAGAUGUAGACCUAGUAGCACUUGAUUCGAGAGAUAACCGUGAUUUCCCCUCUUGAUAGUCGGCUAUCUAUCCUAAACCCGGUCAAUCACUUCUCUACUCAUCUUAGACCGGCAAAAGUAAAACCCUAUGUUUAUACAUUUGCCUUUAUCACUUUGCUCCUCGUCUAUCACCAUGAUCUUUACUUCAUGCUUCAUCCCUUUGUGAUCAUGUGGCCACCUUUCCAUGCCACCAUAUACCUUCAUCACAUGUGUUGAUAUGCCUAACUCAAAUCACUUAAACACGAGGCAUUAGCAACUUGGUGUCAUUAAUUACCAAAACCAAACUUGGCCUUUGAGGGGUCACCCCUCGCCCAUCGCAUUCCGCACCGUCGCGUCGAGCACCACUGACUACUCCAUCGUCAUGGCAGGCAUGUACCUACGCCUUUGGCUGCGCAUGCCUGCCACGCCCGCCGCCACUCGCCACCGCCACAAUCAACCACUGUGCAUGCUCACGCUCGCUAGCAGCACUAGCUCUCACGGUCUGCGUUCCUUCUUGGCUGGCGAGUAGAUGAUGGCGGAUAGGACAUGCGAUGAGCCAGGUUCGGUCGCUCCAUGGCGGUGGCAAGAUAGAGAGGCUGUUGUGGUGAUUUAGUAUUUGGAGACCUCUUUCUUUUUAGAGAGCCUCUAAAUCUUGGUUUUUAGAGAUUCAUUUUAUCUAGUCUUUUGGAGAUGCUCUAACAACUGUUUUAGACAAACCCCAAUGUAUACUUCAUGUAAAAUACAUAGCGGUCAACAUAGACUAUUGUUUUAGGUAAUUUUAGAUAAAAGUCAUCUACUUUUCUUUUUAACUAUAUAAAUUCAUAAAUAAAAUGUAUAUUUACACAAUUACAUAACUAUAAAUACAGUAACAACGGUAGCAAGUUGAAGCACGGAGUGUUAGUGUUUUCAUGGCUUGUCACUUACCUCUAUGAGUAGAGGAGCUUUUCACGUAUAUACGUAUUAGAUCCCAUUGCAACGCAAAGAAACAUUUGCUAGUUACAAACCCAACGGGUGAAACAAGCUAAACAAUGAUUCCAGCGAAAUGCAGGCGGGAAUUUCAUGAUAAAUUUGACUUUGCCCAGAGAUAAAAGAGGUCGAAUUAAAUUCCGUGAGAAUCAUGUUUCGUAAUCAGAUAUGAAGCGUUUUUUUUCCUACUUAAUAGCAGCAUUGCACGCCAGUAAACGAAUGUAGAUCUUCUCAUUCAUGCAACAUCCAAACUCGAAUAGCAAUGUAUGCUGGAAUAAAUGGCUUUUGCCAAUGACAAGAGAACUGCA
rnacentral:lncRNA from 1 species